UACGGGGGGGGCAAGCGUUGUUCGGAAUUACUGGGCGUAAAGGGCUCGUAGGUUGCCAACUAAGUCAGACGUGAAAUCCCUCGGCUUAACCGGGGAACUGCGUCUGAUACUGGAUGGCUUGAGUUCGGGAGAGGGAUGCGGAAUUCCAGGUGUAGCGGUGAAAUGCGUAGAUAUCUGGAGGAACACCGGUGGCGAAGGCGGCAUCCUGGACCGACACUGACACUGAGGAGCGAAAGCGUGGGGAGCGAACAGG
rnacentral:rRNA from 1 species